rnacentral:rRNA from 1 species
GACGUAGGGCGCGAGCGUUGUCCGGAUUUAUUGGGCGUAAAGAGCUCGUAGGCGGCUCAUUUGCGUCAACCGUGAAAAUCCUGCUGCUCAACGGCAGGUCUGCGGUUGAUACGGGUGGGCUGGAGUUCGGUAGGGGAGACUGGAAUUCCUGGUGUAGCGGUGAAAUGCGCAGAUAUCAGGAGGAACACCGGUGGCGAAGGCGGGUCUCUGGGCCGAUACUGACGCU